rnacentral:rRNA from 1 species
GGGCCCGCACAAGCGGUGGAGCAUGUGGUUUAAUUCGAUGAUACGCGAGGAACCUUACCAGGGUUUAAAUGUAGAAUGACCGGGGUGGAAACACCCCUUUCUUCGGACAGACUACAAGGUGCUGCAUGGUUGUCGUCAGCUCGUGCUGUGAAGUGUCGGGUUAAGUCCCAUAACGAGCGCAACCCCCAUUUCUAGUUGCCAGCGGUUCGGCCGGGGACUCUAGAGAAACUGCCAGCGUAAGCUGUGAGGAAGGUGGGGAUGACGUCAAAUCAUCACGGCCCUUACAUCCUGGGCCACACACGUGCUACAAUGGUAGGGACAACAGGUUGCCAACCCGCGAGGGUGAGCCAAUCCCAAAACCCUAUCUCAGUUCGGAUCGGAGUCUGCAACUCGACUCCGUGAAGUUGGAAUC